GUGGGGAAUAUUGGGCAAUGGGCGCAAGCCUGACCCAGCAACGCCGCGUGAAGGAAGAAGGCUUUCGGGUUGUAAACUUCUUUUACCAGGGACGAAACAAAUGACGGUACCUGGUGAAUAAGCCACGGCUAACUACGUGCCAGCAGCCGCGGUAAUACGUAGGUGGCGAGCGUUAUCCGGAUUUAUUGGGUGUAAAGGGCGUGUAGGCGGGACAGCAAGUCAGAUGUGAAAACCAGAGGCUCAACCUCUGGCCUGCAUUUGAAACUGUUGUUCUUGAGUGUCGGAGAGGUAAUCGGAAUUCCGUGUGUAGCGGUGAAAUGCGUAGAUAUACGGAGGAAAACCAGUGGCGAAGGCGGAUUACUGGACGAUAACUGACGCUGAGGCGCGAAAGCGUGGGGAGCAAACAGAUUAGAAACCCUAGUAGUCC
rnacentral:rRNA from 1 species